GCAUCGCUACAGCCUUGUCUUCUCAAAAAUACUGUCGGCUUCGAACUCAAAAAAUGAUUGCACCAAAGCCCAGUUGCUUCCAAACUUACCACCAGAAUCACAUCAAGAAGAUACUCUUCAGAUGUCUCACAACCUAGGAUUUAAUUUUUAUCUCCAACAUAUGGAAAAACCAAACCCUAGAGCACACUAGCAACACUUGCUAAUUCUCUCACCAUCCUUCUUAUAACUUUUGCCACUCAAUUUCUCCUUACUUUUUUCUCAAAUUUUUUCCAAAAUUUUUUCACUAAUUCACAUGUCUCUUAUCUCUAGUUUCCAUCCAAAUUCUCAAUAGCUAGGCCAUGUGGGAUGUCCCAUAUAUAUAAGGGACCAAGAGACAUGUCAUGGGACCAAGGGGCACCAACCUUUGGCGCUCCACUUUCUCACAUAGUGAAUAAAUACACCGUAUAGAAUUAUGGUACAAGAGAGCCUUCAUAGAAAAGGACUCUCCCUCUUCUGCAUGCCAUAAAAAUCUCAUCUUUAAUUGGCA
rnacentral:lncRNA from 1 species